rnacentral:rRNA from 1 species
UGGGGAAUUUUGGACAAUGGGCGAAAGCCUGAUCCAGCAAUGCCGCGUGUGUGAAGAAGGCCUUCGGGUUGUAAAGCACUUUUGUCCGGAAAGAAAUCCUUGGCUCUAAUACAGUCGGGGGAUGACGGUACCGGAAGAAUAAGCACCGGCUAACUACGUGCCAGCAGCCGCGGUAAUACGAGGGGUGCAAGCGUUAUUCGGAAUUAUUGGGCGUAAAGGGUGCGUAGGCGGCGUAUUAAGUCAACUGUUAAAACCUCCAGCCUAACUGGAGAUCAGCAGUAGAUACUGGUAUGCUAGAGGAUGGAAGAGAGAAGUGGAAUUCUUGGAGUAGCGGUGGAAUGCGUAGAUCUCAAGAGGAACACCAAUGGCGAAGGCAGCUUCUUGGUCCAUAUCUGACGCUGAUGCACGAAAGCGUGGGGAGCAAACAGGAUUAGAUACCCUGGUAGUCCACGCCGUAAACGAUGAUCACUAGAUGUUAAUUCUGCUUGCAGAAUUAGUGUCGUAGCUAACGCGAUAAGUGAUCCGCCUGGGGACUACGGUCGCAAGAUUAAAAGCUCAAAGGAAUUGACGGGGGUCAUAG